UACAGAGGUCUCAAGCGUUGUUCGGAUUCAUUGGGCGUAAAGGGUGUGUAGGUGGCGCCGUAAGUCGGGUGUGAAAUUUCGGAGCUUAACUCCGAAACUGCAUUCGAUACUGCGGUGCUUGAGGACUGGAGAGGAGACUGGAAUUCAUGGUGUAGCAGUGAAAUGCGUAGAUAUCGGGAGGAACACCGGUGGCGAAGGCGGCGAUCUGGGUCGAUACUGACGCUGAGGUGCGAAAGCGUGGGGAGCAAACAGG
rnacentral:rRNA from 1 species